CGCUGACGUCGCUGGCUAGUCUGGUUCUGGUCACUCCCUAUGACUACCCCUUCUGCCUCUGCAGCAAGCUGCUG
rnacentral:tRNA from 1 species